AAGUUAUUGAGUUUCCUGGUUUGCAUAAUUAAUUGUGCAGUUUGCCGGGAAUAGGAAAGGAAAAUGGCGACAUAUGGAGUUAACAAACAAGCACCUCGCUGAAAAGUGAACAAGAUGAUACCAAGAUAGGCGGAUUGGCAGAAAAAUCAAGAAUCCAUUGAAUCAUUACAGAGGGACUUGGACAUCAUACAUGCUUGGCCAGAUUUGGAUGGAUGGAUGGAAAUUUAAUAAAAGAAGACGGACAUCAUUCCACCUAUGAUGUCACUUCUGGGGUCCAAUCAACUGGAUCGGCCUAUUCCUCCCAGAAUGCCUCUCAGAUCAUGGAGACACUGUCAUGGGCAGUCUGACUGAAUUCCAAUGGGAAGACUUGUUUCUUUGUGCAGUUAACACACUUUUUUGUCAUUCAAAAUAUACAGGUUGGCUGCAAGGUACCCCAAAAAUCUUUCCAAAGCAUUCAAGCUCAUAUUUUCUCGUAUGCAUUCAACAAUUUUUCAGAAUAUAGACAGUUUAAUUUUCAUUCCUUUUUCAUAUCCUAGGACUCUCAGGCAUACUGUCCAUAUUGUUUCAUUAUCAAAUAAAAUAAUCACUGCCAAGAACAAAUUCCUUGGAGUGCUUUAUCAAUUAACUGAGUGAUAAGGAACUUUGAGAUUGCUCAAUGUGAAAAAAAAUUAAUGCAAUGAAAAAAACUAAUAAUAGGAGUGUUUUUGAAUAUUGUUUGAUAAAAGGUAGACCUUGAGUCCUGAAUUUAGGAUCUGAAUGCUGAGGUCAAGGGAAAAUCUAAAUCAAGCUUAGAAACAGACUUUCCACAAAGCUGACUUUGCCAUAAGUCUUCUCAACAGUAGGAGAUAAACAAGUACAGCAUGUUUCACAAUUUUACUUGCAUAUUUUUAAAGAUCUAAUAUGAAAUCCUUCUCCUAUCCCUCCACUGUUCAUUUUUCAUGCAUCUUGGUACCAUUCUUACCAAAUUCAUUUGUUACAUAGCUGUAUUCCCUAUUAACACUUUCCAGAUUGGGCCACUACGGUUUCCCAUAACUGACAGCUUCAAAAUGUCUGAAUCCAGGCCUGGGUCAGUUGCUUUUGAGAAUCUCUUUAAUUACAGGUGGACAGGUCUAAGACAGGCAAAUAUGCUAAUGUUAUGACUUAAUAUUAAAAUUAAUUAAUUAUUAAUAUUAAUAAAUCGUUCAUUUGUUGCACACACACAUAGUAGGUAUCUAUCAGAAUUGUUUUGAAAUGUAACUAACAACACAGAUACAUUAAGGCGUCUUUGAAAAAUGUAUGUUAAGUGUGAACUUGUUUACUAUAUUUAACCUCACACCUAGAUUAGAGCAAAUGUGACCUUCCAAAUAUUUGCUGCACCCAAGUUAUAAAUGACAGAGUAAUCUCCUUUAAUUCAUUUGAAUGAGCUAAGUCUCAGAAAGUUCAAGCGCAUUUACCAGGAAGCUACUAAACAAUAAAUAUAAAGUUCAAAAGAUUGGAAUGUAGCUGCCAUUAUCAAAAAAGCACAGAGUAAACACUUUUUGUUCCUGCUCAGUUUUAUGUUACUACCAUGUUUUGUGAGUCUGUAAUAUGUGUAUGCAUCAUAUAUAUAUAUAAGAUAUUUAUAUUUGUGCUUAAUGAGUAGCUUCUUUAUCUUACUCUGUAUGGUUGGCCUACAGUCUAACUUGUUUAGAUCAUUUUGUAUUGAAUUCCUUGUUCUUUCAUUACCUUCAUUAUGAAUUUUGCUUUCCCAAUAAAUGGGUCCUUUAUAUACUGUAUAUAGAUAAACGAAGCAAAGCUAACAGAUAAAGAGUUGGGGAGCUACUGUAUGCUUUCUAGCAUCCUUGUCAGAAGCUGGUGCCAAAAUGAACACUGACUUCUGAUAAAUUGGCAAUAUAUAUGCAGAACAGACAAAUGUGGGUUCUUGAAUAAAUAUGAAUAGAAAUCUUUACAUAGCAUGCUACUGAAAUUGAAUCUUGUGAACAUUAGCCCCCCAAUUGAAUCGAAAACAAGGAUAUUUGCUGUUCAAGUAGUCUGUGAACUUACACUUUCUUUUUGGCGUAAUGGGUAUUCCUGAACGUAUGUAAAUGAAAGAAUUAUGAAAAUAUUAUUAAAUUACAUGAAGA